AGAGUUUGAUCAUGGCUCAGAAUGAACGUUGGCGGCGUGGAUUAGGCAUGCAAGUCGCGCGACAAGGUUCCUUCGGGGACUGGAGGAGCGGCAAACGGGGUAGUAAGGCAUCGGAACGUACCCUCUCGUCUGGGAUAGCCACGGGAAACUGUGAGUAAUACCGGAUGAUAUCGAGAGAUCAAAGGUCCGCCGCGAGGGGAGCGGCCGAUGUGAUACCAGCUAGUUGGUGAGGUAAUGGCUCACCAAGGCUUAGACGUCUAGGGGGUGUGAGAGCAUGGCCCCCACCACUGGGACUGAGAUACUGCCCAGACACCUACGGGUGGCUGCAGUCGAGAAUCUUCGGCAAUGGGCGCAAGCCUGACCGAGCAACGCCGCGUGCGGGAUGAAGGCCCUUGGGUUGUAAACCGCUGUCAGGGGGGAUGAAAGCGUAAGCUUGACAGAGCCCCAGAGGAAGCACGGGCUAAGUUCGUGCCAGCAGCCGCGGUAAUACGAACUGUGCGAACGUUACUCGGAAUCACUGGGCUUACAGGGUGCGUAGGCGGCGGUGCAAGUCAGGUGUGAAAUCCCACAGCUCAACUGUGGAACUGCGCUUGUAACUGCAUUGCUUGAGGAAUCUAGAGGUAUGCGGAACUUCCGGUGGAGCGGUGAAAUGUGUUGAUAUCGGAAGGAACACCAGAGGCGAAGGC
rnacentral:rRNA from 1 species